CAGCAGCCGCGGUAAUACGUAGGUGGCAAGCGUUGUCCGGAAUUAUUGGGCGUAAAGGGCUCGCAGGCGGUUUCUUAAGUCUGAUGUGAAAGCCCCCGGCUCAACCGGGGAGGGUCAUUGGAAACUGGGAAACUUGAGUGCAGAAGAGGAGAGUGGAAUUCCACGUGUAGCGGUGAAAUGCGUAGAGGUGUGGAGGAACACCAGUGGCGAAGGCGACUCUCUGGUCUGUAACUGACGCUGAGGAGCGAAAGCGUGGGGAGCGAACAGGAUUAGAUACCCGUGUAGUCCCUGUCUCUUAUAC
rnacentral:rRNA from 1 species